AACGAACGCUGGCGGCAUGCCUAACACAUGCAAGUCGAACGAAGGCUUCGGCCUUAGUGGCGCACGGGUGCGUAACGCGUGGGAAUCUGCCCCUCGGUUCGGAAUAACAGUUAGAAAUGACUGCUAAUACCGGAUGAUGACUUCGGUCCAAAGAUUUAUCGCCGAGGGAUGAGCCCGCGUAAGAUUAGGUAGUUGGUGGGGUAAAGGCCUACCAAGCCGACGAUCUUUAGCUGGUCUGAGAGGAUGAUCAGCCACACUGGGACUGAGACACGGCUCAGCAUCCUACUGGAGGCAGCAGUGGCGAAUCUUGGACAAUGGGCGAAAGCCUGAUCCAGCAAUGCCGCGUGAGUGAUGAAGGCCUUAGGGUUGUAAAGCUCUUUUACCAGGGAUGAUAAUGACAGUACCUGGAGAAUAAGCUCCGGCUAACUCCGUGCCAGCCGCCGCAGUAA
rnacentral:rRNA from 1 species